GUCUACGGCCAUGCUACCCUGAACAAGCCCGAUCCCACCUGAUCUCGGAAGCUAAGCUGGGUCGGGCCUGGUUAGUACUUGGUUAGUACUAGGAAGACCAGGUGCUGUAGGCG
rnacentral:rRNA from 1 species